rnacentral:lncRNA from 1 species
UGGAGAAGCACACACCUCCUCGUCAGCGUCGUCGCCCCUAGGCAGUGGGAGCAGCAGACAACUCCCCCGCUAAAUACUCCUCUUUGCCCCCACCGACAGCAACAACAACAGAAGGAGAAGAGAAACAGCAGGUUGUCGCCGGCGUUGCGGCAGCCGAGGCACCGGGACCGCCGGCUUCUUCUGCUUCUACAGUGGCAGCGGAGGAUCCACCUGCGCUCACCGGCAAGGAGGCGGCAGGAGCAGCGGGCAAGGACGGCGGCACAAGUGGCUCACGAGAAGCAGGCGAUGGAGACCUUGGCGAGGAGCGCGAAGGAGGAGGGCAGCAGCCCCGGCGCUGGCAGUGACGGGGAGCGUGCGCGCGGAGGCGGCGCCGCAGCGGGCGGAGGACGGCGUCGAGGAAGUGCGGAGAGAUCACCCCCGACGCCCCCUGACCUCACCGACGCCGUGCCGUCGUCCUCCUCCUCGGCCGCCGAAGACGACGACGACGAUCCCUUCCUCCUGGCUGGCUUCUUCUCAGCCUUCUCGGCCUUAUCCAGAGAGAAAGAGUGAGUGAGUUUGU